rfam:Nipponia nippon contig62658, whole genome shotgun sequence.
CGUGGCUGUCUCCCUUCCUAGGCAUGGAAGAGCAGGUCCUUGCUAAUUGGCAAAACUUUUACCCUCUCGUGGGUAUUAGUCGUUGACUGUAGCAAGUAACAGGC